UCAUUGUUAGGGUCAUAUUUAAGAAUAAUGAACGGUAACAUUGUAUUAAUGUUUUCGACUUUGUUUAAUAACUCUUAACAUUAUUUUGAUGUAAAGCAAUCAUUGUUUUAACGUAAUAUACAUUACUCAGUGACCCAUAUAUUGUAGGAAUGAUAUUGUACAUUAACCUGUACAUUUAUUAAAAUGUUAUAAAUGUCUCUAUUGGUGAAAAAAAGUCAUGUGACAACAGUGAACUAUUCCUGUAGACUUCUAUCUAACACCGGUGUUUCGCAUUAGUAAUUUGGCUGUUUACUUGUUUCGACGUAUGUGCCAACAGUAACAGAGAAGAAAAGUUUUGUGAUUUGGUUGAGUGUUCUAAGAUCUCGAAACAGAUGCUAAAAGAUGUUUAACAGCUAUGAAAUUUGACAACCUAUAACUUCGGAACAAUUCGAUAACUACUGGAAAGCUUGCACACAAUAUCGUCUAAAUGACAUUAAAUUGGCUCAAAAUUCUACUGAAAUCCUUAAAACAUGGAAUUUUUAUUCCCAACCUUCAGGAUAUCGAUUGAUUGAUAUGGACUUUGGAGUGGCAUUCGGAAACAGUAAUGGACUUAUCGGAGGAUGGAAAAAAUAUUUCGAAAGAAUUGUCUCUGAGUGUAAAAGUCAUAUUAAGGAUAAGACAAAUAAGGCUUUGCUUGAAAAGAUUACCCAUGGAGACAUUUCAGAAAAAUCCUUUUCAACCCCGGAGUGAUAUCCUUGAAGUAUGACAAUGAAAAAUAUUUGUUGAUUGGAGUAUCCGAGACUGGGUUUCCACUUAAGACAUCAGGAUCAGCAUUGUUAGUCGCGAAGGAAGGUGAAGUAGGUACUCUCGUUUUGGACAGUGGUAAACAAAAUCUUAUUCACCAAUGGUGCUGGAUAAGCAUUUGAAAUGAAAAGUUUCUGUAGGAUUUGUAGGUUUUUUGUAUGAAAAGAAGGAUCUGAUAUUUUUAUAUAUAUAUGUACCGCUUGUUUGGCAUUACACAUUAUAAAAUUUAAAAAAAAAUUGAGAAAAAUCUCCUAUGAUUUGAGCGUCUAAGUAACCGCUAUCCUGAUAAAAACAAAUUUAAAACAAAAAUAACGAAUAUUUUAAAUGAACAACUUAAUCCAAUAAUGCUUACUUAAUAUAUCUAACAUGUUAAUAAAAAAAAUACUAAAAGACUAAAAGAAUUGAAAUGGUAGGGUACGUUGUUAUCAAAAAUUAUCUAUUUAGAUUCCAAAUGGUUCUAGCAAAAUUUAGAUAACAAUAA